ACUGCUGAAAUACUUGUGACGUGUUUUCGAGUGAAUCAAGAUGCUGAUGCUGACCGUGAACUGAACUGCUGCUUUCCAGACAACACAGAUGGCAGCUGCUCCAAAGAACCUUUCUAAACAGACCCAGGGAGAGAGGCUAAGAGCGGUGAAGAGCGGGAGCCCAAGGUUAGAGGCCGACACAGGAGGAACCGGCUGUUUCCAGAUCCCAGGACACUAAUCUAGAAGAGUUAGUUCCAGGACCCAGGACCACCCCCGCCCCCUGCAGAUGGCCGGAGAGCAGGGAACCUCCACUCCCCAGGGACCGCGUCGCCAUGGGAACCACUGGUGCUGCGGCCCCGAAAAGUGUGCGGCGGGGAGCGCUGCUAGGCAGCGAAGGAGAGCACGGCUCACGCGGAAGUUUUGUUUUUCGAGACUGGGUUUCCCUGUGUAGCCUUGACUGACCUGAAACUCACUCUGUAGACCAGGCUGACCUCAAACUCAUAGAGAUCGACCUACCUCUGCCUACCAAGUGUGUUGAGAUUAAAGGUGUGAGCCAACAUUGCCUGA